ACAUGCAAGUCGAACGAAGCACUUAAGAUUGAUUCUUCGGAUGAAGUCUUUUGUGACUGAGUGGCGACGGGUGAGUAACGCGUGGGUAACCUGCCUCAUACAGGGGGAUAACAGUUAGAAAUGACUGCUAAUACCGCAUAAGCGCACAGGGUCGCAUGACCUGGUGUGAAAAAACUCCGGUGGUAUGAGAUGGACCCGCGUUUGAUUAGCUAGUUGGUGAGGUAACGGCCCACCAAGGCGACGAUCAAUAGCCGACCUGAGAGGGUGACCGGCCACAUUGGGACUGAGACACGGCCCAAACUCCUACGGGAGGCAGCAGUGGGGAAUAUUGCACAAUGGGGGAAACCCUGAUGCAGCAACGCCGCGUGAGUGAAGAAGUAUUUCGGUAUGUAAAGCUCUAUCAGCAGGGAAGAAAAUGACGGUACCUGACUAAGAAGCCCCGGCUAACUACGUG
rnacentral:rRNA from 1 species